UUAAGCGACUAAGCGUACACGGUGGAUGCCCUGGCAGUCAGAGGCGAUGAAGGACGUGCUAAUCUGCGAUAAGCGUCGGUAAGGUGAUAUGAACCGUUAUAACCGGCGAUUUCCGAAUGGGGAAACCCAGUGUGUUUCGACACACUAUCAUUAACUGAAUCCAUAGGUUAAUGAGGCGAACCGGGGGAACUGAAACAUCUAAGUACCCCGAGGAAAAGAAAUCAACCGAGAUUCCCCCAGUAGCGGCGAGCGAACGGGGAGCAGCCCAGAGCCUGAAUCAGUGUGUGUGUUAGUGGAAGCGUCUGGAAAGGCGCGCGAUACAGGGUGACAGCCCCGUACACAAAAAUGCACAUAUUGUGAGCUCGAUGAGUAGGGCGGGACACGUGGUAUCCUGUCUGAAUAUGGGGGGACCAUCCUCCAAGGCUAAAUACUCCUGACUGACCGAUAGUGAACCAGUACCGUGAGGGAAAGGCGAAAAGAACCCCGGCGAGGGGAGUGAAAAAGAACCUGAAACCGUGUACGUACAAGCAGUGGGAGCACGCUUAGGCGUGUGACUGCGUACCUUUUGUAUAAUGGGUCAGCGACUUAUAUUCUGUAGCAAGGUUAACCGAAUAGGGGAGCCGAAGGGAAACCGAGUCUUAACUGGGCGUUAAGUUGCAGGGUAUAGACCCGAAACCCGGUGAUCUAGCCAUGGGCAGGUUGAAGGUUGGGUAACACUAACUGGAGGACCGAACCGACUAAUGUUGAAAAAUUAGCGGAUGACUUGUGGCUGGGGGUGAAAGGCCAAUCAAACCGGGAGAUAGCUGGUUCUCCCCGAAAGCUAUUUAGGUAGCGCCUCGUGAAUUCAUCUCCGGGGGUAGAGCACUGUUUCGGCAAGGGGGUCAUCCCGACUUACCAACCCGAUGCAAACUGCGAAUACCGGAGAAUGUUAUCACGGGAGACACACGGCGGGUGCUAACGUCCGUCGUGAAGAGGGAAACAACCCAGACCGCCAGCUAAGGUCCCAAAGUCAUGGUUAAGUGGGAAACGAUGUGGGAAGGCCCAGACAGCCAGGAUGUUGGCUUAGAAGCAGCCAUCAUUUAAAGAAAGCGUAAUAGCUCACUGGUCGAGUCGGCCUGCGCGGAAGAUGUAACGGGGCUAAACCAUGCACCGAAGCUGCGGCAGCGACGCUGAUGCGUUGUUGGGUAGGGGAGCGUUCUGUAAGCCUGCGAAGGUGUGCUGUGAGGCAUGCUGGAGGUAUCAGAAGUGCGAAUGCUGACAUAAGUAACGAUAAAGCGGGUGAAAAGCCCGCUCGCCGGAAGACCAAGGGUUCCUGUCCAACGUUAAUCGGGGCAGGGUGAGUCGACCCCUAAGGCGAGGCCGAAAGGCGUAGUCGAUGGGAAACAGGUUAAUAUUCCUGUACUUGGUGUUACUGCGAAGGGGGGACGGAGAAGGCUAUGUUGGCCGGGCGACGGUUGUCCCGGUUUAAGCGUGUAGGCUGGUUUUCCAGGCAAAUCCGGAAAAUCAAGGCUGAGGCGUGAUGACGAGGCACUACGGUGCUGAAGCAACAAAUGCCCUGCUUCCAGGAAAAGCCUCUAAGCAUCAGGUAACAUCAAAUCGUACCCCAAACCGACACAGGUGGUCAGGUAGAGAAUACCAAGGCGCUUGAGAGAACUCGGGUGAAGGAACUAGGCAAAAUGGUGCCGUAACUUCGGGAGAAGGCACGCUGAUAUGUAGGUGAAGUCCCUUGCGGAUGGAGCUGAAAUCAGUCGAAGAUACCAGCUGGCUGCAACUGUUUAUUAAAAACACAGCACUGUGCAAACACGAAAGUGGACGUAUACGGUGUGACGCCUGCCCGGUGCCGGAAGGUUAAUUGAUGGGGUCAGCGCAAGCGAAGCUCUUGAUCGAAGCCCCGGUAAACGGCGGCCGUAACUAUAACGGUCCUAAGGUAGCGAAAUUCCUUGUCGGGUAAGUUCCGACCUGCACGAAUGGCGUAAUGAUGGCCAGGCUGUCUCCACCCGAGACUCAGUGAAAUUGAACUCGCUGUGAAGAUGCAGUGUACCCGCGGCAAGACGGAAAGACCCCGUGAACCUUUACUAUAGCUUGACACUGAACAUUGAGCCUUGAUGUGUAGGAUAGGUGGGAGGCUUGGAAGUGUGGACGCCAGUCUGCAUGGAGCCGACCUUGAAAUACCACCCUUUAAUGUUUGAUGUUCUAACGUUGACCCGUGAUCCGGGUUGCGGACAGUGUCUGGUGGGUAGUUUGACUGGGGCGGUCUCCUCCUAAAGAGUAACGGAGGAGCACGAAGGUUGGCUAAUCCUGGUCGGACAUCAGGAGGUUAGUGCAAUGGCAUAAGCCAGCUUGACUGCGAGCGUGACGGCGCGAGCAGGUGCGAAAGCAGGUCAUAGUGAUCCGGUGGUUCUGAAUGGAAGGGCCAUCGCUCAACGGAUAAAAGGUACUCCGGGGAUAACAGGCUGAUACCGCCCAAGAGUUCAUAUCGACGGCGGUGUUUGGCACCUCGAUGUCGGCUCAUCACAUCCUGGGGCUGAAGUAGGUCCCAAGGGUAUGGCUGUUCGCCAUUUAAAGUGGUACGCGAGCUGGGUUUAGAACGUCGUGAGACAGUUCGGUCCCUAUCUGCCGUGGGCGCUGGAGAACUGAGGGGGGCUGCUCCUAGUACGAGAGGACCGGAGUGGACGCAUCACUGGUGUUCGGGUUGUCAUGCCAAUGGCACUGCCCGGUAGCUAAAUGCGGAAGAGAUAAGUGCUGAAAGCAUCUAAGCACGAAACUUGCCCCGAGAUGAGUUCUCCCUGACUCCUUGAGAGUCCUGAAGGAACGUUGAAGACGACGACGUUGAUAGGCCGGGUGUGUAAGCGCAGCGAUGCGUUGAGCUAACCGGUACUAAUGAACCGUGAGGCUUAACCUU
rnacentral:rRNA from 1 species